rnacentral:misc_RNA from 1 species
AAAAGUUAAGCCGAUUCUUUAAUUAACACUUUUCAACUAAACUAUUAAACAUUCUUAGUUUUACAUUUAAAAAAAACAGUCAAUUUUAUUUAUCACUUCUAGGCUUAAAAAUCAAACAUUUCUUCAUUGAAUCACAAUCACUUUCUGCGACGAUUGGUGAUGAUAAUAAAUUAGCAUAGUCCUGCUGAUCCAAACAAUCUACAAUUUCAUUAGCGUUAUUAAUAAUAAUUGCAUUUAACUCUGACGGCCGUCGUAGCCGUUGCUCUGGAGGCUGGUAGGAUAAUUCAGUUUGGGUUGCUGGUGACCGUAAAGUCAUGUUGAACUGUUCGUUCGGUGACUGGUAGGGUGAUUCAGUUUGUCUAGAUGAUGAUCGGUAAGGUCUGUCUAACUGUUCAUUCGGUGACUGGUAGGGUAAUUCAGUUUGUCUAGAUGAUGAUCGGUAACGUCUGUCUAACUGUUCAUUCGGUGACUGGUAGGGUGAUUGAGUUUGUGUGGAUGGUGUUCGGUAAAGUCUGUCUAACUGUUCGUUCGGUGACUGGUAGGAUGAUUGAGAUUGUGUGGAUGGUGAUCGUAAAUAUCUGUAAUAGGAUGAUGAAGUUUGGGUGGACGGUGAUUUAGAUGGUCUUUCUAAAUACGAUGACUGAGAUUGGGCGGAUGGUGAUCGUGAUCUGUUUAAAUGUACAUGAUCCGUUACUAUGCGGGAUGUGUAG